rnacentral:rRNA from 1 species
CACUUCUACGGAGGGCAGCAGGCGCGCGAAAUUGCCCAAUGUCAAAAAAAAACGAUGAGGCAGCGAAAAGAAAUAGAGCCGACAGUGCAUUUUGUAUUGUCGUUUUCAAUGGGGGAUAUUUAAACCCAUCCAAAAUCGAGUAACAAUUGGAGGACAAGUCUGGUGCCAGCACCCGCGGUAAUUCCAGCUCCAAAAGCGUAUAU